rnacentral:lncRNA from 1 species
AUUUUGACAUAAUUUAUUUACUAAAUAAACGAUGUAAAAAAAAACUAAAAUUUUAUUCCUAAGAACUUCAUAUACUCUAGAUCAUAUUUAACGGUGUGGAAGAGACUCACCGAUUGGAAGAGCUUUUUUCAAAAGUUAAAGUAAUGCAGUAAAUGAUUUAUCACUCCACCCAUUAAGACAUUUAAGUUGAAGUAAAUUGACGAUAAAUUCCAAUUUAGAGAAUUUUUCACACCCUGGAUAUAGCUCUCUCUCAGCAUCCAUUAAUAAAUUAUAAAAAUUUUUUGCCGCCUCAUUUGGUUCGUCGUGAUUUGUAUCAAUACAAUCAUCAUUUGCAUUCUCCAUUUGGACUAAAUCAUAUAUAAGUUCAUGCAUAUCAUCAUGGC